UUGUAGAUUUCAGAGUUAAUACGCUCAGCCAGCACAUAGUCAUUUCAAUUUUGUGAUGCAGAUGAAAUGUCUACUUAGCUGAAGAUUUUAGGUCUUUCCUCCUGGACUGAAGUUAGAAAGAACAAGAGAAAGAAGGAGAAGAGAAGGGAGGGAGAAGAAAAAGAAAAUAAAAAAGAUUUAUGUAGGAAAAGUCAAAGAAGACAUAAAGAAAAUUAUCUUCUAAAGAAGAAGAAAAGGAUUUUCUACCAGAAAUACCUGUAGGAAAAAAAUUCUAUUUGGAAGAUUUGCAAAACCUUCCAUGAAAUAAUAACCUGUGUUGUCGUGAGGUGUUAUAAAUUCAUUUCACAAAUCUGUAAGAUUUUGUAUGUGGCAAA